UUGCCUUGAGUUCUGUUUUAAAACACCUCUUUUGUUGUGUUUGGGGAUUUUUGGCAGGAUUUUGGCCUGAGCCUCAUUUAGGUUAGGAAUGAGUGGGGCCAGAAGACAGGGGGUGAGAGUAAGAACGGAUUGUGGCAACUUCCCUUUCCCCCUCCCUCCAAUAGAUGGACCAGGACUGUGCCUUUGCCGUAUGUGAAGGAGAAUGCCUCCAAUCAGGUGGUGGUUGUAUGUCCUUUGUCCCUCCUGCCACUGAGAAACCAGCCAGUCGCCUCCACUUCCAGGCUUACGGCCCACUUCCCUUUCUUUCCAUCCCAAACAUGAACUGCUAUUGUGCCCUGAGCAAUCUUCUGCAGCCUGUAAGAGCCUCCCUGCGCCCUCAUUUGUCCCCCUUACCCCCUGCCCACAUUUGCCCUCUUCAACCUCCCUCCCAAGGCUGCAGCUUGGGAACAGCAGUCUUUUCCAUCCCUCUGCCCACCCAAUGCCUUGAAUCAUCUCUGGGCAGUGGGGAAGAUGUGAGCAGGCUGCCCGGGCCAUUGUGCUUUCCAAGAACUGGGUCACUAAGACCCAGGGACCCUGGACUCCUUCCUCUUUCUGGGUUUACUGCUUCUGCCUGCGCUGUAGUCCCGGUUCGUGCUAUUGCGCCACCUCGCCCUGCCCCCUUUUGCCUUCUUCCGCCACAUUUCGACUGCCAGCAGCUGAGUGCCACAUUCAGGAGUGGGGAAGAAGAAACUCUCUUUAGUGGCCAUGAGGUUGCCAGCCUCAUUAUAAGGCAAGGCCAGACUGAUACUGCCGCAGCUUUUGGGUUCUGACUCCUGUGUGAAAGCUCCUUGUUUGUGAUUUUCAGCUGGGGAGUGGGGGUCUUCUGUUUCUCUCCGUAGGAGAGGAAGCUUCUCCUGUUCCCUAGAACUGAAGCUGUGUCCUGGGUGGUACGUGGCAGCCCUGCAUAGGGCAAGGGACACUUUCCUUCCCACAGGCAGCCAAAAGGGUCUGCCCUCUGGUAUAGUCAGGUGCUGUAAUAACACCCGGCUCUUCUAGCUGAGGUUCCCAAAGCUGAUUGGACUCCAGCUCCCAUCAUCAGCAAUGGGUGAGGAUGGUGGGUGUUGUAGUCCAACGCUCUCCGGGCACCCAAGGCCUGAAGGCGGCUGCUCCAAGGCCAGACCAACAUGUUUCAGAUGAAAUGCCCAUCAGGAGGCAGGUGGUCCUGGAAGGAUCUCCCCCAAGACCAUGGUUUUCUCUUGAUUUCUAGCUGCUCUCAAGUCAAAAAGGGGAGGCCGAGCAACUCUGGGCAGCUUCUGCCCAGCCGCCUUUGUGUCAUUUGUGGCUUAGUUUUGCUAGCUCUAGCAGAGGUCUUGAGGUUCCACUUCCUCUUUCCAGCAGCGCUCCGUUUUGCUGCAGUGUCUCAGCAAGCGGUGGGCUCGGCCCCUUCUCUCUCUCUCUCUCUCCUCCCCCAUAUCUCUGCCUACAUAUGCAGAGCGUUGCAUCACUUCUCGGUGAAUGUCACAGGUUGCUUUCUCAAUCUGCCCUGCUAGCGGCAAUGGGGCCGGGGGGUAAUGGCAGCGUGUGGCAUUCUGCACCCCAGAAAGCAGCGAGGGGCGAAGCUCAGCUGCAAGGUGGGAAAGGAAGUUACAAGUAGUCCUGGAUGAGUACUGGCUGUGUCAGUUUAGGAGGAGGUUGGGCUUUGCAUCGUACCGAGAGGUUGGCUUUUGGAUCUGGGUGAGGACUGAGUGAGAGCAGGUUGGUGGGGGGCGAGGUGGAGGUUUCGUGGAGGGUGCCGGUGUCUGGAGGUGGCAGCAUGGCACACCGCAGCUGGUGGGUAGAUUUUGCCCACAUCUGAUUUUUUUUUUUUUGCAGUCUCAGCACCCACUUUUCCUGUGGAUCAGCAAUGUGCCCUCUCAUUGGAGCUACUAUUUAAAUACAAAUAUAUAUAUAUAUAAUACCAUAUGUGUCUUCAACGAAAGGAGGAAAUCCAGUCCAUCUUAUGUACAUACCUUUGAUUUCUUCCACAUGCAAACCCCGUCUGAAGGAAUUGGUUGUUCUUCCCUUCCACGAGGCUGGGUGUUUCGUUUCGUAGCUACGGUGUGGUUUUCCUGUGAUCUGUUUUAAUCUGUGUCUGUGACCGAGUUCCGUCUCUCUGCCUUCCAUGUGUCUGUUGUAUUAUGUAGGUCUCUCUGGCCCUGAUCAGAUUAAAAGCUAUGGAUUUCUGUGUG